UUGGUGUAAAAGUAAUUGUGGUUUUGGCCAUUACUUUCAAUGGCAAAAACAACAAUUUCUUUUGCACCAA
ensembl:miRNA cja-mir-548d-2 cja-mir-548d-2